rnacentral:rRNA from 1 species
AGAGUUUGAUCAUGGCUCAGAUUGAACGCUGGCGGCAUGUUUAACACAUGCAAGUCGAACGGCAGCGCGGGGCAACCUGGCGGCGAGUGGCGAACGGGUGAGCUAAUACAUCGGAACGUACCCAGAAGUGGGGGAUAACGUAGCGAAAGUUACGCUAAUACCGCAUACGUUCUACGGAAGAAAGUGGGGGACCCUCGGGCCUCAUGCUUUUGGAGCGGCCGAUGUCUGAUUAGCUAGUUGGUGAGGUAAAGGCUCACCAAGGCGACGAUCAGUAGCUGGUCUGAGAGGACGACCAGCCACACUGGGACUGAGACACGGCCCAGACUCCUACGGGAGGCAGCAGUGGGAAAUUUUGGACAAUGGGCGCAAGCCUGAUCCAGCAAUGCCGCGUGAGUGAAGAAGGCCUUCGGGUUGCAAAGCUCUUUUGUCAGGGAAGAAACGGCUGAGGAUAAUACCUUCGGCUAAUGACGGUACCUGAAGAAUAAGCACCGGCUAACUACGUGCCAACAGCCGCGGUAAUACGUAGGGUGCAAGCGUUAAUCGGAAUUACUGGGCGUAAAGCGUGCGCAGGCGGUUUUGUAAGUCUGACGUGAAAUCCCCGGGCUCAACCUGGGAAUUGCGUUGGAGACUGCAAGGCUGGAGUCUGGCAGAGGGGGGUAGAAUUCCACGUGUAGCAGUGAAAUGCGUAGAGAUGUGGAGGAACACCGAUGGCGAAGGCAGCCCCCUGGGUCAAGACUGACGCUCGUGCACGAAAGCGUGGGGAGCAAACAGGAUUAGAUACCCUGGUAGUCCACGCCCUAAACGAUGUCUACUAGUUGUCGGGUCUUAAUUGACUUGGUAACGCAGCUAACGCGUGAAGUAGACCGCCUGGGGGAGUACGGUCGCCAGAUUAAAAACUCAAAGGAAUUGACGGGGACCCGCACAAGCGGUGGAUGAUGUGGAUUAAUUCGAUGCAACGCCGAAAAACCUUACCUACCCUUGACAUGUCAGGAAUCCUUGAGAGAUCGAGGGAGUGCCCGAAAGGGAGCCUGAACACAGGUGCUGCAUGGCUGUCGUCAGCUCGUGUCGUGAGAUGUUGGGUUAAGUCCCGCAACGAGCGCAACCCUUGUCAUUAAGUUGCUACGAAAGGGCACUCUAAUGAGACUGCCGGUGACAAACCGGAGGAAGGUGGGGAUGACGUCAAGUCCUCAUGGCCCUUAUGGGUAGGGCUUCACACGUCAUACAAUGGUACAUACAGAGGGCCGCCAACCCGCGAGGGGGAGCUAAUCCCAGAAAGUGUAUCGUAGUCCGGAUCGCAGUCUGCAACUCGACUGCGUGAAGUUGGAAUCGCUAGUAAUCGCGGAUCAAGCAUGCCGCGGUGAAUACGUUCCCGGGUCUUGUACACACCGCCCGUCACACCAUGGGAGCGGUUUACCAGAAGUAGGUAGCUUAACCGUAGGGAGGCGCUUACCACGGUAGGAUUCGUGACUGGGGUGAAGUCGUAACAAGGUAGCCGUAUCGGAAGGGUGCGGCUGGAUCACCUCCUU